GACGAACGCUGGCGGCGUGCUUAACACAUGCAAGUCGAACGGUAAGGCCCCAGCUUGCUGGGGUACACGAGUGGCGAACGGGUGAGUAACACGUGGGUGACCUGCCCUGCACUUCGGGAUAAGCCUGGGAAACUGGGUCUAAUACCGGAUAGGACCAUGGCGUGGAUACUGUGGUGGAAAGUUUUUUCGGUGUGGGAUGGGCCCGCGGCCUAUCAGCUUGUUGGUGGGGUAAUGGCCUACCAAGGCGGCGACGGGUAGCCGGCCUGAGAGGGUGGACGGCCACAUUGGGACUGAGACACGGCCCAGACUCCUACGGGAGGCGGCAGUGGGGAAUAUUGCACAAUGGGCGGAAGCCUGAUGCAGCGACGCCGCGUGGGGGAUGACGGCCUUCGGGUUGUAAACUCCUUUCACCGUCGACGAAGGGUUUCUGACGGUAGAUGGAGAAGAAGCACCGGCUAACUACGUG
rnacentral:rRNA from 1 species